UACGUAGGUGGCAAGCGUUAUCCGGAUUUACUGGGUGUAAAGGGCGUGUAGGCGGGACUGCAAGUCAGAUGUGAAAUUCCAGGGCUCAACCCUGGACCUGCAUUUGAAACUGUAGUUCUUGAGUGGUGGAGAGGCAGGCGGAAUUCCGUGUGUAGCGGUGAAAUGCGUAGAUAUACGGAGGAACACCAGUGGCGAAGGCGGCCUGCUGGACAUUAACUGACGCUGAGGCGCGAAAGCGUGGGGAGCAAACAGG
rnacentral:rRNA from 1 species